rnacentral:snRNA from 1 species
AGCUUUGUGCAGUGGCAGUAUCAUAGCCAAUGAGGUUUAUCUGAGGCACGACUAUUGCUAAUUAAAGAA